GUAUUCCACGCCCAAAAAAUACGAAUCUCAAAGUACCACCAUCAUGACGAACAUUAAAAUAGAGCAGUGCAGAAGGUUUACUGUACAGAGUCGUUCCAAAGCCACUCUUGCAGAUCAACAUGAAACAACACAUCUUUCCGCAAUUUGAGUUGAUCUUGUGCGCAUGAGUUGGUCUCGUGUUGGUGCAGGUUUUGAAAAUUUCUGGACUCUUCCAAAUUUUAAUUUUGUAUCAUGGAAAAACUGAUGGAAAAACUGGCUUUUCAUGUGCGUGAGAAAGUUUUAAUUUUUCAAGUUUUUUUUUUUUUGAAGUGUGUGGGAUGGGUGAAGAGUUCUGAUGCAUGCGAGUAUUUUUGGGUGUGUGAGUGAAUUUAUAUGGAGGUGAGAUCGAUUUCAGGUGAAUGUAAUAAAUCUUUGGAUUUGUUAUGUUUUUUUUCUUUGUGUAUGUUUUUCUGGCAAGAGUUUAUUUGCAGUCCAUGAGGGAUUAUUUGGUGAAUGCGAGAUUUUUGAAGAGAGUGUAAUUUUUAGGGUCAAUGAUAAGAUAAGAUAAGAUAACCUUUAUUUGUCCCACACUGGGGAAAUUUGCAGUAUACAACAGCAAAAUUGGGGAGGGGGGGGGGGGAAUAAAGUGUUUCAGUGCACAAAAUAAAGCGUGUUCUGUGCAAGUGAAAGAUUUUCUGGGUGCAUGUUCGAGGUGUGAGAGGGCUCUUACUGCAAAGGAUAAGACAUAUCAAAAACGGAGUCACAAGUAGAUGAUAUUUUAAAGAGCUGUAUUUAAUCAGAAGGAAAAGCAGAGACAACUUAAUUUGCUUUUAAUUGAAAAUACAAAGGACUAUGUAAAUUCAGCUAUGU